UAAUAAAAUUUUAAAAACAAGUUGUACAAUCUAAAUUAUUUAAUCCAUAAUAAAAUUUUAAAAACACGUUAUAUUUUCGAUAUUUUCGUAUUCAUAUGUACAUAUAUAUGUAUGUUUAUAUGUGUAUUAACAUAAAAGCACAAAUGUACUUACAUAUAUAUCCAUUUAUGUAUAUAGUUUAUGAGUAAACCACUGGGACUGGCUUGUUAAUAAAUUUAUUUUAACUGAAUAUUAAGAAUAAUUUGUAAAAUCAUUUCAUUAAUUUUUGCUAUUGCAUUGGUGAAAUACUACGUAUACUCAAAAGAUACUUAUAUUUAUAUUAAUUUUGCAAAGAAGACCUCAAAACUGUUGUACAUAAAAGAAAAUGUAUGAAUAUGCGACACAUGACUAUACGUAUAUUUAUUUCAGUUGGUUGCAAUACAUUACGAUUACUAUUCAUCAUUCCUGAAUAUGUUUAUUUUUGACGAAAAAGGAGAUUUUUUCAAGUCAAUUUCUGACUUGAAUUGUCAGGUAUAGCAUCCCAACAAACCGACAGACCCGACUACUGGCAAUUUUCAUGCUACAUGGCGCAGAACAAUUAAAAAGACCCGAAACAUCUGACCCACAACUAUCAAGCCGUCCCAACCCACAACCAUCAAGACAAGCCGACCCAUAGCCGUCACGACGAGUAGACCCAAGAAGUAUUGAUCUAAACACACCGUUCUUCAACUGGAACCUGGUUUUUAUUCCCACUGCAUCCAUAAAGAUUACUGCAGAACAUGUUAACACCUGGAUCAGCACUAGAGCCAUUGUGAAACGAUCAUCCACUAUUCCAAAAAUUUCGAAGUCGUUUGUCCAAAAUACAAAAUAAAAACGACUAUGAAAGAUGGCCAUGAUUUUGACAUUUUUGAAAUUAAGUCUUACAAUGACAAAAACAAGUGGACAACCAAGAUAAAUGCUUUAAUAAUAGAUGAGCUUCCCAGAAAACCAUACACUGGACCCUCGCAGACCCCACAGAUUAUUUCCCGUUAAAUUCAUUGGCUGACAUUGACCCUCAAUCUAAUAAUAUAAUUGAAGUGGAACUAGGAAACGACGUCUACCCAUCAUUACGUCGGGACAGAGCCCUAUCAACCUAAGUAGGUCAAGUUGUGGCCGAACAAUCUACCUUGGACAAUUUAUUUUCAGGACCUAUCCAAAACCUAUGGCAAAUGGGGGCCGGAAUGUUCAACGUUAACACUUUUUUUUAAAAACCCUUUAUAAUACCCUAAUAAUAUACAAAAAAUUUCAUAUCAAUAUCAUUUACAGAUUCAAAAAUAUACGUUUUUUAAUUUAAAAAUUCAAAAAUUUUUUGAUU